ACCAAUUGGACCUUGCCCGGAAGAUCACCUCCAUGGCAAUCGCUUCUCGCGUUACAAGUCUGGAGUCUGACAUGGACAGGCUCCGGCAGAAUCUUAACGGAAAGGAUCGCCUCAUCCUCGACCUCGAGGAUAAGGUCUCUCAGCUCGAAAACGCCUGUCACCAGGCCGAAUUGCGAUUGAACAUCACCCUCCAAGAUAAUAUGAAACUGUCGAAGGAGAGAGAUAAUCUGGCUAUUACUGCAAAGAAGCUUGGUCGUGACUUAGCAAAGUUGGAGACCU
rnacentral:misc_RNA from 1 species